CAGUCGCCGCGGUAAUACGUAGGGUGCGAGCGUUAAUCGGAAUGACUGGGCGUAAAGGGCGCGUAGGCGGUCACGAUAGUCAGAUGUGAAAUUCCUGGGCUUAACCUGGGGACUGCAUUUGAUACUGUGUGGCUUGAGUGUGGAAGAGGGUCGUGGAAUUCCCAGUGUAGAGGUGAAAUUCGUAGAUAUUGGGAAGAACACCGGUGGCGAAGGCGGCGACCUGGUCCAUAACUGACGCUGAGGCGCGAAAGCGUGGGGAGCAAACAGGAUUAGAUACCCCGGUAGUCCCUGUCUCUUAUAC
rnacentral:rRNA from 1 species